CCAAAGUGCUGGGAUUACAGGCGUGAGCCACCGCUCCCAGCCUAACUCCACCUCUUAGAAGAGCCAAAAGGCACACCUGAGAGAGUUCAUCUUGAAUUUAGGUGGUUGAGCAAGCACAGCGAUUUACUUGAGCCCACGAGCAACCUCUGUGAGAGAUGUGAGCCUCAUCCCCGUCCAUUUCACAGACCAGGAAGCCGGGGCUCAGCACUGGUGCCCACAACGAGCCAGGCCCUCCCCACUGCCCUGCACCUUCCUCCUGGACUGUCGUGUGAGCACGGGGUGGGGGUGAGACAGUGGGGUACCUAGACCCCUGGAGGACAAGGAGGAAGACCAGAGGGGGCCCUGGUCUCUGUCACAACCCCCCCCUCUAUUGCCAGUUUCUCACUAAAGUGAAGAUACACAAGACUAGGCACAGCGUUGGGUCUGUUCAUUCUGCAGAUUCUACAAACAUUCAUCCAUCACCCGCUAUGGACCAAGCACUAGGUUGAACCAAGUGAUACACGGAUGCUGGUGCCAAAAAGGUCUUUGUGCGCAAGGUCUGGGUUUUCGCCACUCUGAGUCCCCAGGGCCAGGUUCCUGUUGCAGCCUGGAGCCGGAAAAGAAUCUGGGAGGAAGAGGUUGGGUGUUGGGGCCAGCAGACUAGGGGACGACAGAUCCUGCCCUGCCACUCAUUUGCUGUGCAACUCUCAGCAAAGCACCCAACCUCUCCGAGCCCUCGCUUCCCCAUCUGUGAAGUGGGGAUCAUAAGGCCCAUCCUGCAAGGUGGUUUCCGCGGUGAAAAUAGAAAACGAGGCCUGUUCCUACAGCCUGUGUGUCUUGGGAGGAACUGCUCAUCAUCUGUGAUCCUUUUUUACCUGAUUACGGGAAAGGGGAGUGAUCUGCUCACUGACCCCCGGCUGGGCUUUUCCCUGCCAGUGAAAUCAUUUGAAAUUGUCCAAGGAAAUCAGGAACCUGAGCCGACGCAGAGUCACCGAGCUUGGUGCCAAGCACUGGGGGAGCUCCAGUUACAGAAAACAAGUGGAAUCCACAGGCCCCGGGCUGAACGUGGAACUAAUUUGGGAGGCAAUGAGAAAGAGCGGAACAUAACGCGGAGCCCGGGAGGCAGGUCUGCCCUGAGUCAGGACGCCAUCCGGGGGGGUAUCUGGGGCCCCUUGAAAUUUUCAAGGUCCUGCUUCUGAAGUGGGGAGAGCCGGGACAUGAUGGGGACCCACUUCGGAAUCUCAGGAUGGCUGUGCAGAGACUCAGGGCACGGGCCUGGGGUCGGAGCAACUGCAAUCACAUCCUGACUUGCCCCCUCGAUGCUGUGUGACCCGGGGCCUGUCGCUUCACCUCUCUGAGCCUCAGCUGCCGCAUCUGUGAAUGUACGAUCUAGGGAUCCCUCCCUCAGAGGGCUGCUUCAUAGAAGGCUCAGUACCAUGCCAGAUACUUAAGAACAUGCAACCUGUGCCAGACUGAGGAACACAGGAGGGAACAAGACAGACCUAGCCCCACGCAAAAGGAAACAAAUAGUGUGUACCUAAUUGCAAUCAUCGUUUGAAGGAUAAGAACAGGGUGCUUGGAUAAAAAAAUAACUGGGGCGGGCUAGGCAUGGUGGCUCACGCCUGUAAUCCCAGGACUUUGGGAGGCCGAGGUGGGCGGAUCACCUGAGGUCAGGAGCUCGAGACCAGCCUGGCCAACAUAGAAAAACCCCAUCUCUACUAAAAGAUACAAAAAUUAGCCAGGCAUGGUGGUGGGCACCUGUAGUCCCAGCUACUGGGGAGGCCAAGGUGGGAGGAUCGCUUGAACCUGGGAGGUGGAGGUUGCAGUGAGCUGAGACCGUGCCACUGCACUCCAGCCUGGGCAACAGAGUGAGACUCCGUCUCAAAAAAAAAAAAGAAAAGAAAAAGUAAAAGUAAAGAGACAAUGCACCCAAAAUUUGGAUAGAUGGAAGGAUAGAGGGAUGGAUAUGUGAUCACUCAAAUUUAGUAAAAUGUUAGUGAGUUGAUGUUGCUGUUUCAAAAUUUUCAUAAUAAAAUGUUGGGGGAAAGUAACAAAACCAAGAAGAAAAAGAGGUAGAAACAAAUUCUUUAACAGCUCUCUUUUCCUACGGAACACUGUCCAGGUGCUUAGCCGGGCAGCCAACACACAAAUCCUUGCCUCACGCCCCAAACUCACUCUAAGUGUGUAGCCCUGGGCACACCCUCAAACCUCUCCGAGGCUGCAGUCCUGGUCUCGUAGGAAGUGAGAGGCCAUCCUCCGGGAGAGGCAAGGCUGAGAUGCACACAGUUGUUUUCAGAGCAGCAAGGCCACUUCGGCAACACCCAGAGCUUAGGGAGGACGUGGUCAACCAGCCUUUACUGGGGCCUGGGAGACUCCCCACUGACACAAACUCCCUUCUGGUUUGCACUGGGGACGUUCAGUCCCUUGGGUUAUGCAUUCACUGGUCCAAUAGAUAUUUUCUGUGUGCCAGGCCCUGCACGGGGCACUGUAGUGUGAAGUCUGUCAGGUUCUUCCCUUUAAAGAACACCCCCAAGACACAGACAGAUCCAAUCCAGUGAGACACACACUCCGAGGGAGCCAACUCCAGCCUGGAUAGACGCCAAGCCCCACAGCCAGGCUUCAGACUGACUCCCGCCUCAGUCCGGAACCUCAGCACAGGAAGGACCCUCGUGUCAGGAUAUCCAGGCCCCGCCCCAGCCCAAUGGCCCCUGCCC
rnacentral:lncRNA from 1 species